CUCGAUCUUCAAUCAGCUGCCCAUUGGCGACGCCCAUCUGGUCCCAUUCUAACCCCUGGAAACGCAGAUAAGCACCUCGGCUUUCAGCUGACUAAGCUGAUGAUCUGCAGCUGUGCCCUGCUGUCUCUGCCUGAGGCUCACUGAUAGAGCACCUGUGUGGCUGGGCCCAGACCCUUCUGUCUUUCACUCAAAGCCUCCGCUCUGUCGCUUGUGACCACACCAACAGCAGGAAGGGCUGAUAUGGCAGACAGACAGGACACCCAGGGUUCGGUGGUGUGGUCCUUUCACAAUAUCCUGAGCGUCUCUCCCCAGCUUGCGUUCGCUGUGUUUUAAAUUGAUCCAGUCACCCACGUGAGCUACGGCUCUUGCUUUGGUCUGAGAGCCCUUCGGCUUGGUGAUCUGUGGGCAGUGGAGUUGGACGCUAUCCUUGCAGCAAGACUCUUGUGGACAUCAUCCUGAAGAGGCUACGUGUCAGAGAGCAAAGAAACCUGGGCCAGUGUCCCGCCUCCGUCAUGUACUCGCUGUGAGAUGUACUGAGUCACCUAAACUCUGGGCCUCAGUUUCCUCAUUAGUAAAAUGAUGCCUGACCAUGCACUUAAAACAGCUGACGUUUAUUCAAUAACCCCAAGUACAAACAAGGAGUGAACACUAUGAAGAAAAAGAAAGUCACCAGGACCAGAGAGAUAGAUGGAAUCGAGAGGCUGCUAUUUUAGUUAUCGGAUUUCAAAGUCAUCUACAAAUCCACAAGGAGUGAGGAAGAGGAUGUGUGGGCCCCUGCUCCUGUAUAGAGAUUCACUGUCUUCUCUAACACAUGCUGCUUUAAGGCAGUCGGCAUCAGAGGCAACUGCUCAGCAUCUCGGCCCAAUGGCUUCUCUCCAGGGAGUUGCCUUCCCGGCUCAGACAGAAGAAAGAAUCUUCCUCACACAUCCUCUGUCCCAUCUGACUUACUGAAGUUUUGUGAUAUUGGCUCAUACCCUCCUUUAGUUUGAAGGACCUGGACCUACUUGGCCGUAGCAAGCAGGAAGACUUUAGUCAAGUACAUCUCUUCUCAUCAAUGUUUUAUUAAUGAGUAUUUCCCUAUGACUCAAUUUACCCCUUUUCACAUCUGCUGCAGAACCAAAUGGAGAUAAGCCAAAGGUUUAGGAGGAGGGGCCAGAAGGGCACUGAAUCAAAGAGAGAUUGAAGUAGGAAAGAACCUUGGAGACCAUUAACUUAGUGCCUCACUUUACAGGUGAAGACACUGAAGGCUGGGGAAGUUUGGCCUAAUGCUCCAAGUUCCACAGGCAGGGUUAGAAGCAGUAGGAGAACCAGGAUUCCCAAUUCCAGGCUCUUAGGUCAGUGCUGUGUCUACUACCCCAAGUCAGAGUCCAAGCUGUCACUGAGAUCCACCUGCAGGACCUGGGCACGUCGUGACAAUUCUUGGUCCCAGUUGCCUCACCACUCCUAUCUACUUUAGAUAAGAACAACUGCUAAGAACAUCAUGAAAUAAUGACUAGGUGCCUUGCAAAUCACCAAGCAAUUUUCAAGUACAAAAAGUAAACUGCAUUUCGGCUAUUGGCAAGACAAACCUCUUCAUCAUUCAAUCAAAAAUCAUCACCUACCUGAAUAAACUUUUUCGGGAAUCUGAUCAGAAAGGUUUGCUUUUCAGUUUUGCUUUGUGUUUUUAACUUCCUAGAAACAUGGUUAUGAACUGAGUGUUGUAUGAUCUUAGGAAAUUAUUUUUAAUUCAGUUGUUGUUGUUCAGUCCCUAAGUCAGGUCCCACUCUUUGUGAGCCUAUGGACUGCAGCACACCAGGCUUCCCUGUCUUGCACUAUCUCCCAGAGUUUGCUCAAACUCAUGUCCAUUGAGCUGGUGAUACCAUCCCACCAUCUCAUCCUCUGUCGCCCCCUGCUUCUCUUGCCCUCAAUCUUUUCUGGCAUCGGGAUCUUUUCCAAAGCGUUUGCCCUUCACAUCAGGUGGCCAAAGUAUUGGAGCUUCAGCAUCAGUCCUUCCAAUGAAUAUUCAGGGUUGAUCUCCUUUAGGACUGACUAGUUUGAUCUCCUUGACAUCCAAGGGACUCUCAAGGGUCUUCUCCAGUGCCAUAAUUUUAUUUCAGUUAGGUGUGAUCAUAAUGUUGGGGUUACGGCCAGGAUGUCAUUAAUUUGGAGGACUGUGUGACACAGUGUUUCUGAGUUAUUGUUUAGGUGUUACAGAUCAUGUCUGUAAUUUACUUUUUAAUGGUUCAGCAAUUUUAGCUGCAGGCUUGUGUGUGUAUACACACAUAUGGUCAAAUGUUAAUAUUUGAGUCUUGGGGGUACGUGUGAUCUGUGCCUGGCGGUUGAGUAGACUCUUAGUCUAACUUCCUAUAUGUUUGAGAGUACUUUUUAAUAAAAUGACUAGUAAAACAAGUUUUCCAGGUGAUCCUGAUCUUCUCUAAUGGUUUGAGCCCAUUGAUGUGGAGCUGUGAGCCACUGACCAACGACAAUGUGUGAGUGGAAAAAUCUUCUUAAUUCCCUGCUUGGUGUCUUGUCAAAUUGGAAUCACUUUUCCUCAGCAGUACUGGUGAGGUUCUAUUUCCCGUGGCUGUGUGUCUCUGUCUGAGUCAUCUAUCCAACCAAAGCACUGGAAUGUCAAACCAUCUCUAAUAUUUCCAGGCAGAUCUAGAGGUGACAUUGACUCAACUUGAAGGUAUUGAUUAGAACAGUGGUUCCCAAACCAAGGUGCCAAGGAACGCCACCCAGAGAAUUUCAGCAGGCUUAGGAUGAGACACAGGCAUCUGAUUUAAUAGCCAUCAGAGGUAAUCCUGACACAUCUAUAUCUGAGAGCCAUAUUUUAGACUACAAUGAUCUUAAAGCCAAGUUCAUGGGUUUGAUUCCAAACUGAAGAGCUAUUUAAUUUUGCAGGAAGCAGAGUUGUGUUCCUUAAUGAUAUCCUGCACAUCUCACUCUAUUCUAUCAUUUUUUAAAUAGGGGUCCUGGUGGGAAAAAGUGAAAAAUAAAAAGGAAACAGGACAAAGAAGGUGAAUGGAUCAGAGCAAUAUACUAUUGUAAACACAUACAUAAUUUAUUCCCCCUCUUACUAGAACCUGAUGCAGUCUAUCAUAGAGGUGGCUGCGUUUUGUUGGUGAGAAAAGAGGCUUUCUUUGUUGUUCUCUGAUUACCAAGUAUAUUCCUACCUCAAGAAUUUUGGAUGAAAAGAUAAAAAAAUCUCUUGUUAGUAUCAGUGAACUAUGAUCCAAAUGAACCAUGCUUUUAAUGAAAAACAUUUGAUGGAUACUUACAUGCAAGCCUAAAAGGAGAAAUUGAACCUUGGGAAACCAAAAAAAAAAAAAAAAAAAGAACACUCCCCCCUCACCCAACUACCUGUCUUAUGAACACUUCCUGGGACGCCUUACGCCACCCUCAAAGAAGCCAGGAACCUCCCCGCAGCCCUGGUUUCUGCAGCAGGAACCAGCAGGGUCUUUUACAGGCAUGCCACAAAGCAGCUUCCUGUGUUCUUAUGUAAUACGUCUUUGCAGCUUAAACCUUUAAUUAACCAGAGAUGUCAUCGAGAAAAGUUUGCCAAGGAAGAGGAUGCCUGGUUUAAUUAAAAAGAUCUUUAAUAGUUAUUAAGGAAAUCAAUUUGGAAUUCAGGCCUCAGAGCAGUGAUGGGGGAAGAAGUCACUGAAAGGAACUUUGCCAUCUCUCUGGGUAAUGGAUUUUAACACUUUGAUCUGCAUUGCAUCAAAAUCCCUGGGACAGUGGUCCAGGGGGAGGCAGAGGGAUGCUUAUCACUCAUCAUUUUUGAAUCUACCUUCCAGAUCCAAGAGGCAAGUCUGCCUUAUAUAUGGAAAACCUAACCUUUCUGUUAUGCAGUUAUCCCGGCAAUUGAAGGAAAUAGAAAACCAUUAUAAAUUGAAAAUCUCCUACCUCAUAAGUAUAAGCUAUUUUUUUUUCCCCCAAGAGAUGCAUUAUUUCUCCCUGAGAAUUUGUGCUUGGCCUGUACAUCAGGCAUCUAUUACUGCUCAAACCCACCUUCUUUGGAUCAAGCCAGAAAAAAAAGGGAUUUGGCUCUAAGGAGCACAAGGGAAAUAUUAUUUUCACUUGUCUCAUGAAAAUGAUGACACAAAAGGUGAGCUAGCCAGAGGAUGGGCAAAAUAAAUUGUCUAUGUUGGGGAAAACUGCAAAAGGAAAGAGUUUUUAUUUUUUUUAUAAACAGCAUCCUGCCAACAGGGGGUUAGUUUUAAUAUCAUCCUCUGAGGCAGCCCUGUUGAGUUCAAAUGUUAAAAGCACUUUUCAAAUAAUCUAUGUUUAAUUAAUAUUUGUACAGAACUUAGCAAGGGUAUCUGAAGACAGGUGCAGAGUAUGGCUACAAAAACGAUUUUCUGGUUUCAACGUUAGCUCAUUCUCAGGCAGACUGAAGCACCUCUACCUGGAGUUCCUAUCAUUACUCAGUGGGAACUCAGUGGAAACUGAGAGGAUGGACUAGAUCUUUCAGCACUCAAGCCCGCAUCCUAAUCACCAGCUUACAUUUUCUUGAGGAGAUGAGAACAGGCUGGUAUUUAUUGGUAUUCCUUACAGCAAAUUGCCCAGAAUCUAUGUGUACAAUAUCUUUGUUGAUUGCUUGGCUGAUUACCUGAAACUUCUGGGCUUAUUAGUCCCCGAAACAUCUCAGCUCCCUGUUUCAUUUCGUCUGUUGAACCUAAUGAGGGGUGUCACUUGGGAGAAUUAGGGGUUUGGGGUAGAGGUGUUAUAAUGCAAGCUCUACUGAAGAACUUGUCUUGCUGGAAAUAGAUCAGGUAGCUUCUCUAAGCUCCACUUUCCUCAAUUACAAAAGAAGAAGCAUUGAAGUAGAUGGUCUCCAAGACCCCUUCUGGUUCUAACAUAGUUUGAUCCACUAUUUCUCCUUUGUCUUCACUGGGUGUGUCUGUUCUAAGUUAGUGGACUGAUGGUACACAGGAAAUCUCAGUGCUUAUUGAAACAUUUCUGCCUGAGUACGGAUUGUAAACUGGCAAGCAGGCAGCAGCCUGGAUCCAGUCUGCAGAUCUGUUUAGUUUAGCCUACCUAAUAUUAUUUUGGAGGAAGGGUGGGAAUUGAAUUAGUUUACAACAGUUAAAAUCCAAGAUAUAUCCUGAAGUUGGACUUGUGUUUCUGUUGAGAUGUUGGAAAAUUCUGGUACUGCUUCAUCUUCACGCGUAAUGAUCAAUUAGGAUUACUUUCUUGUGAGUCCUAAAUAGACCCCACCACUUCCCACUGUGUCUCCAACAAGCUGAAUGUCAGUCCCAUUGUUUUCAUUGUGUUUAUGCUGUCCCCGACCUCAUCCCACUUCGUUCAUUCAUGGCCCACAGAGGCAUGUGGGUAGAGGAAGAGAGAGUUGGAGGAAUAAUUAGAAUCCAAUGUCAGGAACCUCCUGUCCUUUGAAGAGACAUCCGUGCCAUGAUGUUUCCUGAGAUGUGUGAGUUUCUAGGUGGAUAAAGUGCCUUCAGUUGGGUGGAUAGGAUCAGACAUCCACUGACUGAUGUGGGUAGCACAAUGAUUUCCCAUUUAAAGCCAGCUCAGUAUGUCCACAUUGUCUCUCUCCUUUGAACAAAUGUUUUGAAUAUCAUUCACUCAGGACAGUGCCCCACAGGAACACUGAGGCUACCCCAAGCUCAGCACAUACACAAAAGAAUUCGAACAGCAAAGACCCUUUGGUCACCUAAAAUGAUCAAUCCUCUUUUAGCAACAUCAGUGGAAUCCCCCUGUCCAUUAGAGUGGCCAUCUGAUUUAUUGCCUAAAAUAGGAAUUUCUUAAAAGUGAAAGGGGGCACUAUUAAUAAUUAUGCCAGGAAAAUACUUCCCUAAACAAACUGGGGCGUGUGGUCACCCUGCUCAAUGUCCAACACUUCCUAAUGACUUGAUUACAAAAAGCUGCCUUUGGCCACAGCAGGUUGUCUUGGGAGCCAGAUUCGUCUCAUUUCUACCCCUGGGACAUGCGUGGCUCCUCUCAUUGUUGAAAUUCCUGCCAGAUUGGAGAGGACUCAUCCAUCCUGUUUCCAUUUCUUCCAGGAAUUGAUCUCUCCUAUCCACUUCUACCUUUCACUGAUGCUCUAAACUUAAGAUGGCAUCACUGACUCAAUGGACAUGAGUUUGAGCAAACUCAGGGAGAUAGUGAAGGGCAGGGAAGCCUGAUGUGCUGCAGUCCAUGGGGUCGCAAAGAGUCGAACACAACUUAGCAACUAAACAACAAGAUUGUCUUUGACUCUCAGAGAUGAUGCACGUGACUAUUAGAUGUGGCUCUCUGAAAUUUGGGUCCUGGGGAAUGAAUGAAAUCUCUGUUUGGAUCUCUCCAUUUGUUUUUCUGCUCCUGUUCCCCUCUUUCAGAGACCCUGCUAGGUAAUUCAGGUUAAAGAAUUUCCCUCUACUUUUCUUUAAGCUAAUUGGGUCAUCCAUUCAUGCUGUUAGAACUUUACAUUUUCCAUGGAGGGAGGGGUGGUCCCUGGCUCAGGUCCCUGCAGGACACCAGCUCUGAAGAUCACACCACUUUCACAACCAGCAAAGGCAUAUCAUUGCAGCAAAAGUGAGUUUUAUACUUGGCAUUUGGGUGAGGAACAAAGAAAGUUUGGGGGCAUUUCAAAUAAUGAAAGAAAGGAGCAGGCUUUUGAAAUGCAAAGAUAUAAAUCCCUUUCCAGGAGGCAAAUUAUACAGUGGAACAGAAGGGGAAUAAAAGGAAAGGAGGGGUUGAGGGGAGUAGGGUGGUGAAAGGAGGUGUUUAAUGGAUAGAGAAAGAUCCAGAAAGGUGAGGCUCAGAUCCCUCAGAUAAAGCCACCCAUCUACUCAGCGAAGAUAAGAGGAAAAGCCGGUUGGCUUUAUUCUUUUGACAAAGAUUCACCAACGUGGCAUAGAGAGGAAGUAAGAGGGUUGGUAACAGCUCAUUCUCAUUUACCACAUGGCCUGAACUAGCCUAUCACUCACUUUAUAAAAAGGAGUUGCAGGAGACACGGGACGUACAGUUUGACAGAAUCUACAGUGGCAAGGAAAAAGAAGAGGAACACAGAGAAAAAGGGAGCUGAUGUAUUAUUUACAGGUUAGAGAACUUGAACAAAGCAGGAUGCAAAAACAGGCGCAAAGACUCGUGUUUGUACGACUGUGGAAUAAAGGCAGACACCUCUGAAUUCUUACUGCUGUACCUUUUGCUGCUGGAGACCUCUGUCAGUGCUGGGCCGGCAUACCUGUGUGUCAGCUCAUCACUGUGCUCCAAUCUGCCCUGCUCUCAGUUACAUUUCCCUGUGGCCCAGAAGGGGUAAAGUUCUCAACAGGAAGCUGCUGGGCCUCUGUAGGUGCAGUCUCAUUAGGCUGGGCACAGAGGGCAUCUCGCUGGUGGUGGCAGGUCUAAUAAGCAUGCAGAUGGAAGACACGCACGCACACACACACUCUCACUGAAGUCACGCAGUGGGCAGAGAGGAGGGGUGUGGGGAAUCGGAUCCGAAAGGAACAAAAGGCCGCAGUCUCUGCAGUGAGCUGAGUGAGAGUGACAGGAGGACAGCUAAAGGCAACCAGAAGCAAAGUGUGAAAACCCACAGCCAAAGGCGCUGGAGCAUAUGCCCUGGACUUCACAGCUUCUUCCUCUUCCCAGCUUACACUGGCUCCAUAUGCUGCUUCACAUAGUGUUCCCGGGCCAUAAUGGGUUUUAUUCCAUAGUUUUUAUACGAACGCGGAUGACUCACAUCUGCUCCAAUACCCAAUUCAGUCUCUAAUGUUUUCGGCUGCUAGGAGAGAACUUGCCAAUUGACAGUGGCAAAAAAAAAAAAAAAAAAAAAAAGAGCUUCAAUUCAGGGAUGAGGAAGGUUACCACCCCAUAGGUGUGAGCUAGAAGGCCUUUGAGAGGGCAGGACCUUAGGGAUGGGAAACAGACCCUGGGAAAUGAGGAAUUUGCUCCAGACUAUCAAGACCUGAGGGUAGACCAUUAAAGGGCAAUAGGACAGUCCUAAUUCAGAAUGUACUUAUUUUCCUUAUUUUCCUGUCAUGUUAAAUCUUUUGCUAGGAGCUUUUCUUCACCAUAUAGACUGUGAUGAGAAAAAAGUCACUUGGAUUAAUCACCAAUGAUAACUAAUCCUCCACUGGGAUCAGCUGUGCUCUGCAUUACUUAAGCUGGUUAUUAAAGUUUUAAAUAUUUGGGGGAAUCCCUGGAUAGGCUGGGAGAGACUUAAAGGGCUGGGCCCUGCAUGGAGACUCAACCUGGCUUCCAGAUGUUUGAAGUCCCAUCUGAAAUCAAUUUCAACCCUAAUGACAGUGACUGGCUUGAUAACCCAAACUAAUAUGGCUUUUGGCUGGAUCAGGUAAUGACACUUUGCAAAACUGGAUUCUCUUGACAGCUUUCAUAGGCCCAGGGAAUCUCCUCCACUUGAAUGGAGGACAAAGUAGUAAUUAAGAAGCAAGCACCUUGAAAGUUGAUAACCGCACUCCCAGGUAUCGCAGGCCCCGGAUGGAGCUGCCAUGGGAGAACCAGGACCUCAGUUUCCCCAGAUGCCAGACAGCACGAAGCACCUUACAUCCUCAGCAGCAGGCAGUGUGUGCUGCUGCAACCAUCUCUAAAGCUUGGCGGUGGUGUUGUGUAACUGUUUGCCAUCUGUUACUCAGAAGCAGCACCACAAAGCGCUGAGCAAUGGACUACGGAGCUGCGGCUCCUGCCUGGAGCUGACAGCAUCUCAGCGACUUGCCUGGGGGUCCCCUGCAGAGCCUGCCGCAGAACACUUUGCAGGCCCCACACCGCAGGUCCAGGGCAAGGCUGCUGGAAGGGAUCCAGGAAGCUCAUGAUACUGCAGAGAGGGGUUCUCUUGCUGCUGCCCCCAGCCUUCCCAGACCGUGAUCUACCUGGACCUUUGCCCAGCCAAAGCAGUGGCUGGGGGGCCUACCCCCACCUUUCAGAGUACAGAGUUCUGAUACAGGCAAAUGGUUCUGUGUGAUGGUCUGAGAGCUCAGCUGAAUCUUGAGAUGGGCUGGCAAGAGUGCUCAGCUUUUCUGGGCUGUUUUAUUUUCUAUCUUUGUUCCCACCCAUAACUUCUUACCUACAGCCUAGCCAAGAUGGGGCUAGGAGGAAAGACUGUUCUGUGACUGAAAGACAAUGUACCAAAUACAGGGGCAGAUGCCUCCAUUUUUGACUCCACUUUUUGCUGGCUUUGUCUUCCUGAAGAGUGAAUUCUGGAGCCCUACUUUACACCUGGCCUGCCUCCUAUGCUGGGCCCUGUGGGGAGAGGCAAAGAGGAUGAUGGCCACAGUAUUAGGUGCAUCACUUUCACCUCACUAACAACUUGAUGAGAUAAGCAUUCUUCCAAGUCAGGCUCACACAUAAGAUGGCACUGUUCCCCAGGGAGAGCAAGGUGUCGUUCUCCCCCUCUUUCAGGGAUCAGAUGAUCAAGUAACACCAGCACCUUGCACUUAGCUUUCACAACUAUUCAUUCACUUGUAAAUCGUCCCCAUUUUACAGAUGAGGAAUCUAAGCCUCCUGGGGUCUCCAUGAUUCACACAGCUAUUGCGGCUGACUGGGGCCAGGAACCCCUCAUCCAGUGUUAUCAGCAUCAUUCCAGCCUAGCUGAGGCCCAUGUAGGAAUCCAGUUCAGACUGUGCUCUGCCUCUGGACCCAAGUAGUUUUAAUCUUCAAGAGGAAGAAGGGUGCACUUCCAAAAGG
ensembl:lncRNA